CACUGCUGAACGUUCCGCCUGAAUGUUGUGAUCUGUCAGAGCGACGGACGUAACGUAAAGUAUAAGGAAGCGUUUUGCUGGACAGAUGUGAUCACAGGUUUGAACCAUCCUUCGAGUAAAGUUGCCCCAUCCACAGACAUGGCAGAGCAAGACCCAGACCACCAGCACACAGCAGAAGGGAAGGAAGGAGAAACACAGCCUAUAUUGGAUCGUGAUGUUUUACCAUGUAACUACAAACAGGAGAGGGAUCCUGAUGAAAAGCAGAUUAUCU